CUCCAAGGUGGGAGCGGAUCUAAACUUGGAUGGAUACAUGAAAAAUUGAAAUCUUGUCGAAAACUAAUAUUAUCAGCCAGAUUGUGAAUCUUAGUAUUACUCUGAUAUGCAAAUUUGCAUAAGAAAUUCAAUAAAUUCCUAGAUAAAAUAGUGGUCCACUAUAAAUUGGAUAUAACAGGUUCAACCCACAAAAUUUAUCAAAGCUUGCAUUGCAUCCACAGUAACAAAUCUAAUCAACUCAUUAAAAAGGAAUCAAACAUGAGAUGAAUCAAACUGUACUUCGGUUGAGUACAUACCAAGGGCGCCAUGGCUGGGAUGUGCGUGCAACUUCUUUGUCGUCCUGAAACGAUACUCAUGGUGAGAGCAGUGUUCCGGCGAAGUAGACGGGAGCGGGACGCAGCACCGGCAACGUGGAGCAGACAUAGUCGUGGUGCGGAGCAGGUCGUGGCAGAGGUAGCU
rnacentral:lncRNA from 1 species